rnacentral:rRNA from 1 species
UACGAGUGCCUCAAGCGUUAUCCGGAAUCAUUGGGCGUAAAGGGUGUGUAGGUGGUUUUAUUAGUCUUUUGUUAAAUUCUUCGGCUUAACCGGGGGCAUGCAAAAGAAACGGUAAAACUAGAGGAUGCGAGGGGUCUGCGGAACUCAUGGUGUAGCGGUGAAAUGCGUUGAUAUCAUGGGGAACAUCAAAAGCGAAGGCAGCAGACUGGAGCACUCCUGACACUGAAACACGAAAGCGUGGGUAGCGAAUGGG